GGAAGAGGAGCUGAGAGCUUCAGGGAGGAGCUGAGCUGUUACUGAACUAUAGAAGAGACACAAACUUCCACAUUCAACACAGUUCAAACAUUAACUCUGAUCAUCAUGCUGUCUUUGCUCACAUCUGGAUUUACUCUGCUGGUUCUGCUUAUAGGAACAGGUGUAAACUGUCAACAACUCACUGCAGCAAAGACUGAAGAGUUCAAUAUAGAAGGCAGCUCUGUUACUCUGUCCUACAGUUACUCCAAUAAGAUAACUGCUACUGAUCAUUUCUUCUGGUAUCGACAGUAUCCUGGAAAUCCUCCAGAGUUCAUCAUGUACAUCUCAGGUUACAACAGUUCAAGAUCAGCAGAUAAUCUGAAAUCAGCAUCAAGAUUCUCCACUAAACUGAGAGAAGAGAAACACCUGGACCUGCUGAUCUCCUCUGCUGCAGUGACAGACUCUGCUGUGUACUACUGUGCUGUGAGGCCCACAGUGACAGGAAACACCAGAACUCUGUACAAGAACCUGCAAUACUCCACUACAUCCACUAGAGGGCCUCACACACUGUUCCUCCUCUAUGGUUUGUUAGGAUUCAGUCUGAUUGUUUGUGCAGCUGAGAAUAAAGCAGACAUCAGAGUGUUUGCUGCAUCAUUGAACUCUUCAUGA